rnacentral:rRNA from 1 species
GACGAACGCUGGCGGCGUGCCUAAUACAUGCAAGUAGAACGCAGUUUCGAACGGGUGAGUAACGCGUAGGUAACUGCCCCAUAGCGGGGGGUAACUUUUGGAAAAGAUAGCUAAUACCGCCUACUGUUAGAUGGACCUGCGUUGUAUUAGCUAGUUGUUGAGGUAAAGGCUCACCAAGGCGACGGUACAUAGCCGGCCUGAGAGGGUGAUCGGGCAACAUGGGAAUUGGACACGGGCCAGACCCCUUCGGGGGGCAGCAGGAGGGAAUCUUUGGCAAUGGACGGAAGUCCGAACGAGGAACGCCGCGGGAGAGAAGAAGGUUCUCGGAUCGGAAAGCUAUGUUGAUAGAGAAGCGGUAACUAACCAGAAAGGGACGGCUAACUACGUGCCAGCAGCCGCGGUAAUUC